GCUCAGGGUAGAGGACUCGGGAACCUAUUGGUGUGGAAUUAGCGAGUCUUCCAGGAUCUUGCGUCUCAGAGCCAUCCAUCUGGUGGUAUCUAAGGCUUCAACCCUGUCCCCCCCCCAGGAGCACCAGGAGGACCACAGCCUGGACCUCUGCCAUCAUCCCUGUCAUUGACAGCCCCGCAGGCCACUGGGAUGUCAUCUCCGGCGUGGUGGUGGCCGUGGUGCUGCUGCUGGUGCUCAUCCUCCUCCUGAUCCUGUACCUCAGGAAAGCCCGAGAAAGAGCCAAGAAAGGUAAACCCUGUCGCUGGCUCCGAGCAGACCACCCAGUGCUUAGCCAUGAUAAGGCGCCCACAACUCAUGCUGACAAGGCUUAUUACCCCAUUUUACCAACAAGGAGACU